AGUGGAAUGACUGGAUCAAAUGGUGGUUCCAUUCCAAGUUUUAUGAGAAACCCCCAUAUUGCUUUUCAUAGUGGUUGCACCAAUUUGUAGUCCCACCAGCAAU
rnacentral:pre_miRNA from 1 species